CGGGAAGCUAUGUCGUCAGCUCACAAUGCAAGCAAGCUUACUUAAGCAUUACAGAAGCAAAGUUCAGGUCUUUCUGUUCCUGUUUGCCAAAGCAGACUCUGAAACUACCUUCUGUUUAAAAAUGGAUGUGAAAACAAUGUUAAUUUACAUUUUUCUGUUGAGAUUAUUUCCUCCCCUCUCCCCUCUGCUAUUUACUGAGUCGUCUGUCCCCCGACGAGCUCGGCAGAUUAAGGGGAUAUGUUACCAUCUUGUUUUUUUUCUAAAUGGAUACACAUGUGGCACAUCUGGGUCCAAGCCUGACUCAUUACUCACUUUUUUAUGUUCCUUUCUCUGCAGCCAUGGCAACUGCUGCAUGUUUGGCAGAAAGCUUUUGAAGGCAGUGGAAAAAGAGAGAGAGAGAGAGAGAAAGAGCCUAGGGAGGAAGCAUAAAGGGAGAGUGAGAAAGGGAGGGAGGGAGAGCGAGCAAGCUCUCAGUAGUUGGCCUACAUCCAGUGUAAUCAUGCCAUGGAGCCGAAAUGAGGCCUUUGGCAGCACACCAGGUUUCUGAGAACAAAGAUGUGAGCUUCUAAUGUUGGCGGUGGGGCCUGCUUGGCAUCCUUUGCCAUUUCCCAGCAGCCCCUGCCUUGGCUGACUGCCAAGCCCCCCCCCCGGGACUGCAAAGAGGAUCAGAAUAAAGAGAGAGACUUGUUUUUCACUCGCCUCUUGCUCUGGCCCAAUGACAUCACCUCUGCAGCCUCCAGCCCCCAGAUUCCAGCCGCCCAGCACAUUUUUCACUUUCGCCGUCGACCCUCCAUUUUAUUUGAAUUCCACCAUUUUAAACCUAAAUCAAAGCAGACUCCUUCAAAAUGUCCAAAUUGUGUUUCUGUGCCUUACGUUGCACAUCGUUUCUCUGCACCGUGAGGCCAGGAUCCGGUGUUAAUCCAUUCAGACAAAUCAAUAAAACAUCUUCCAGUUAACAUUGAAAUACAGGAUGCAGCUAAUUUGACAAAUGGAUGUUGUAGCGUUAUCUUUCAGACCUCCCCAAAAUGUAUCUGCGCUCUAAUCCUUGCUGAGCAUAUCUGUGGCUAAAAAUAGCAUAGUGAACAGGAUAUAUAUGGUAGUUGGGGUACUGUGAUAAUCUCCAUGGUUACCUCUCUGUGACAUAUACAGGAGCUCAGUAAUUCAUGCACAUUAGUCCUUACAUUCACCCUCCUGACAUCCUCCACCAUCUGCCACUGUGCAGCUAUAUUAAUCUGCAAGAUGGUUAAACUGCAGUAAUACGUCCUCACACGUCCCGCAUUAACCUCCCUUUGUUAUGUCUGCAACAUGUUACAGUGGAGUUUGCUGCUCACUUCAGUUGUGCUGAAAGAGUUAUAUAAAACAAAUGCUGUUCUCGUGGAGGAGAAACACAAAGGGGGAAAAAGGACUAAGAAAACAUCCAGUGCUGUGUUUGGAUUAGGAAGAAAACUUCAGAAAGAAUUUGUAAUGAUUCGCUCCCAUGAAUAAAAGAUGGCCAAUAUAAAAUUGAACAGGCUCGGAAAGGGAUAGAAGAAAAAUAACGUCAUCUCAUCAGGCCUGCAAUGCUGUCACAUGUUGGGUAUUCCCCUGGCCGUCACCUACCUUUCGCUCUUUAUUUAGCAACUUGUACAUAUUGGACCCAAGGGAAGAGUAUAAUUCGUAAACAUGGUUGUAUAAUUUUAGAUUUUUGAAUACAUUGUGUUUCUAUAUUUUUGAAGAUAAAGAAAACAAUCCCAUUAAAUCAUAUGGCAACUGCACCGCCGUUGUAUUCGCUUGGUGGCCACUCUGUUCAGAAACAGCCAAACGGCUUGAUGUCCUGUAGAUGGGUGAGGCUGAUGAGGGUUACAGACGCAUUGCCUCACCCAAAGCCCGAGGCUAAGCUGCAAUGAGUUGGAAUGAGCCCAGAUGAGAGGGAGGAAUCUGAACUCCUGGGACACUCCUCCAGUUCAAACAUACACUUUUACUACAGGGGAUUUUUAGCAGGGUUGUUUUUUUUGGCAUACGACCCGUUUCUAGAAACUUUUUUUUUCUCCAUCAUGUAAAACAUAAUAGUAUAAUCAUUAAUCUUGCUACACCUCGAUACUAAUACUACGGAUGUUGUGUUUGAUUAUGAGCUUAGUUAAAAAAACAAAAACAACAAAAAAGGAGUCCGACUGGCUGAUUCAUUCCUGUGUCCUUUCAUUUAGUGGUGACAGAUUUGGAUGAGUGACUGCUCAGUGCAUGUGGGCAGAGCUAAAUUCAUGUGUAACCCCGAUCCAUUCAAGCUUACAACGCACUGGCUGGAAAUCCCCACCUCAUGACAGAGCUUCCUGCUUACUGGCUAACGGAGGCGCCCGUUUCUCUCUUUUCAUAUUAACAGGGCUGGAAAUGAUUGUCUAACCAGUGCUAAAAACUCAAGCCAGUACGUGUUGAAUUCAUGUUGGUACACUGACACGAAAACGUGGCCACUAGAAAUCCCUCAAAUAAUUCUAAAAUAUGCCCAAAUGGAUUGCAUUUGCUGCUUUAACAAAUAAACAAAACACGGUUAUGUUUGCUGCACAACAUUCUCGAGGUUCGAUGUAUAUUUCUAGAAAUUGCCAUUGGAUUACAGUUGUUUUCCCGAGAGUCGACCCACCUCAUCCAUUGCACAGCAGCAGCAGCUCGUGGCGUCGAGGCGCUGCGAGGAGAGAAAAACAAGCGGCAGCGAGUGUUUUUCAGCCUCAACCGGAUAAUGCUCUGAAUUUAGGACAAAGCAGCAGUCAACUGGAGGAGCUGGCGACUCUCUUUUUUAUUUAUCCCCUGGCGGUCUACUGCUAACCUACAGCCACGUUUGUUCAUACAAAAUAAAAAAAUCUUCCUCGCUGCAGGCAGGCUGAUAUCGACGGUGCCAUAUUUGUGCAGGUUUGAUCAUAAUAACAGGAGCGGUGGGUUAUUCCCUCCAGUCGGAGGCGGCGGUGAGGCUCAACUGGGUGCAGUUUUGGCCGAGGUACAAGUGAUUAAAUUAAAAUAAAAAAUAAAAGAAGUGAGUGACAGAGGCUGCAGUAAACUGUGGGGGGAGGAGGAU